UAUACAUUUUUUAUUAUAAAUCAGAGUUUUAAUACAUAAAAUGUACAAGUUUACAAAUUUAAGAAAUAGUAAUGGAAAAAUAGUGUUUAAAAUAUCAUUUUAUGUUUUUAAUGAGAUUAAAGAGAGAGAAACUUGAGUAGUCAAGUAUUGGACCCGAAUGUCAUAUAAUUUUAAUUGGGGAUUUUUAUAAAAUUAAGAAAGUUUUACUAAAGGACUUAUUUGAAAAGAAUUUUAGUAUUUUGGGUCCAAGUGUAAUUUAAAAAAAAAUAAUAAAUAAAUAAAAUAAAAGGCUUCAGCCUUUCUUUUUACCCGAGCCCCUCUCUCUCUCUCCUCAGAAACUCUCUCUCUCUCUCUCUCUCUCUCUCUCUUUCUCUCUCUCUGCGCGUUACUGUUGCCGACGACGCAGGAGUACUUUCCGGCCACCACUUUUAGCCACGCGCCGGACCGUUGGAUUCAGAGGCCUCCGAACUAUCGACCUACGCGGGAAUCUAGAGCUCACUCGCCGAUUAAACGCCUCAACCACUCGAUUUAAGUUCGGCCACCCCGCGACUUCAAAGUUGCGAUUCAGCCACCUCGGGCAUCCGUUUGCCGAUCCGUCACCACCAUCGUGUUCCUCGUGUUGUGGGCUUCAAAACCCAAUAACUUGUUCCUACAUCUAUCAUAGUUGGGUGGUGGGCCCACCACGAGCCACCGCGAUCCACCGUAGACCGACGGUCGAAACUUAGUGUUCGAGGUUCCGAAGUACGUUUUGAGUCUCAGAAAAUCAUCGUUUGACUUGUUGUGGAACCCGAUCAUUUUGGAUUUGUAUGGAUUUGAUUGAUUGACUCUUGGUGAGGAAUUUUAAAAUAAGCUAAGGACCUAAGGUGUGGCUUUAGCUGUUGAGCAACUUGUGGAGCACGGACUCAGUAGCAAUGCAAUAAUGGUUUAGAGUUUUCAUAUGGCUGCCUUAAAUUUAAAGUAUUCAUACGUGUAAUAAUUU